GCGAGAAACGCCCCUAGGUCAACGUAAUUGUAGGAAGUGUGUAGCAUUUGUGAGACAAGAACACAAAUGUCCACUUGUGCCUACGUGGCCGUCCCCGCUUUCCUACCGAAGCGUCGAACGGCGGACGGAGCCGAAGAAGCUCAAGUCGUCUCGCCUCAACUUCGGAAUCGCCAAAGUAGCUCUCAAGCGGACGCUCGACGGGAAUCCGUGGGUACUUACCGGCUGUUUACACCGCCGCGAGGGGCAACGUUGACAUUGGGUCUGGAACACAUCCCCGUCAUGAACACUAUAGACAAGAUGAAAGUGAAGGAAAGCAGCGAGUAACUCACUCAAACUCUCCGGUGUGCGAGGGAGCUGCUUCCUGGUGUUGAAGGGAUCUCCGUGAAGGACGCUGAGAAUUCCCUCGAGUUCCAAACCUGCGAGUCUGCCUGUUGUCGGACUGGCUGUGGCUACAGCAUCUGCAAA